rnacentral:rRNA from 1 species
UACGAACUGUGCGAACGUUAUUCGGAAUCACUGGGCUUACAGGGUGCGUAGGCGGCCAGACAAGUCAGGUGUGAAAGCCCUCGGCUCAACCGAGGAACUGCGCUUGAAACUGUUUGGCUCGAGUCAACUAGAGGUGCGCGGAACUUCCAGUGGAGCGGUGAAAUGUGUUGAUAUUGGAAGGAACACCGGAGGCGAAAGCGGCGCACUGGGGUUGGUCUGACGCUGAGGUACGAAAGCCAGGGGAGCGAACGGG